rnacentral:rRNA from 1 species
AUGCCUGUCAGUGGAUGGCUCGGUUCGAGUGCCGAAGAAGGGCGUGCCAAGCUGCGAUAAGCUCCGGGAAGACGCAUGGAGUCUACGAUCCGGAGAUCCCCUAAUGGGACAUCCCAGCACUUCGGUGUUGAUCCGUAAGGAUCGGGAACCCCCCGAACUGAAACAUCUCAGUAGGGGGAGGAAAAGAAAUCAACCGAGAUGUCGUUAGUAGAGGCGAUCGAACACGACAGAGUUCAAACUGAAUCCCGAAAGGGAGAUGUGGUGUGGUAAGCCUGCCGUCUGGAUGCCAGGGCGAAGUAGAAGUCCUCUGGAACGAGGCACCAUAGAGGGUGAUAGUCCCGUAUGCGUAAGCUGAGGUAUCCUGGCAGUGUCUUGAGUACCGCGGGUUGGAAUUCUCGCGGGAAUCUGGGGGUCAUCAACCUCCAAAACUAAAUACUACUCGAAACCGAUAGCGCAUUAGUAGCGUGAGCGAAGGCUGAAAAGUAUCCCCGUAAAGGUGGUGAAAAGUGCCUGAAACUGAUAGGUGAUGGUGAGUUGCGGCGCGAAAGGAUCUUCCACGUGAAGGAACCCGUCGCGAGGCGGUAGUACGGGCGUGGUUGCCGGUGUCGUAACGUACGUUUUGAAGAACGGGCCAGAGAGUUUAUUCUGCAGGCGAAGGUUAACCCAAAAGGGGAGCCGGAGGGAAACCAACAGGUCCGUAGCCUUCGGGCAUGGGACGGCGUAUUAAAAGUGCGUGGAGUCUGCAGGAUAAGACCCGAAGCCCAGCGAUCUAUGCGUGGGCAGGUUGAAGCGUGCCGAAAGGCGCGUGGAGGACCGCAAGCGGUUUUGAUAUGCAAAUCAUUCGCGUGACCUGCGUAUAGGAGUGAAAGAUUAAUCGAGCUGGGCAUCAGCUGGUUCCUCCCGAAACAUGCCGUAGCAUGACCUGGCCGGAGAUAGACGGUGAGGUAGAGCACUGAUUGGGGGAGCCGGGGGAGAAAUCCCUCGCCCUCCUGUCAAACUCCAAACUCCCCGUCGUCGUAGAUGGCUGGCAGUCCGGACUGCGGGGUAAGCUUGUAGUCCGUAAGGGAGACAACCCAGACCGUGGUUAAUGUCCCUCAAUGUAGGCUAAGUGUCAACACUGAAAGGCGUCCCAGGCCAAAGACAACUGGAAGGUUAGCUUAGAAGCAGCUAUCCUUUAAAAAGUGCGUAAAAGCUUACCAGUCGAGGUUUGGGGCACUGAAAAUGGACGGGGCUGAAGCCUACUACAGAGACCACGGACCACGCGCAAGCGUGAUGUCGUAGGGAGGCGUGCUGCCUGGGCAGAAGCAGGGGCGUAAGCUCCUGUGGACCGGGUAGUAAUGAGAAUUCUGGCAUUAGUAGAAGCAAAGUUGGGUGAGAAUCCCAACCGCCGGAGGGGCCAGGUUUCCUCGGCAAUGUUCGUCAGCCGAGGGUUAGUCGGUCCUAAGGUGUGCCGUAAUUCGAGCACAUCGAAAGGGAAACAGGUUAAUAUUCCUGUACCAUUCAUCCGCAGCGGUUUACCGCCCUGACGCUUUGGGAUAUGCCUGGCAGGGUCGUCGCCCUGUCCAAGCGAUCAAACUCGUGGAGUACCGUAAUGGUGAGAAGCGAGUGAAGGCGUGAUGGAGCAAUCAGGCAAAUUCCUGGAGCCCGUGAAAAGGGGGAUGAAUGACCGUACCGAGAUCUGACACAGGUGCCCCUAGCUGAAAAGGCUAAGGCGUGUCGGUGUAAUCGUGUUAAGGGAACUCGGCAAAUUAGCCCCGUAACUUCGGGAGAAGGGGUGCCUGCCUGGCGAUCAGGCAGGUCGCAGUGACCAGGGGGCUCUGACUGUCUAAUAACAACAUAGGUGACUGCAACUCGGAAACGAUUAGUAUAGUCACUGAUUCCUGCCCAGUGCGAGUAUCUGAAAACCGGGUUCAACCGGGCGAAGGACUCGUAAACGGCGGGGGUAACUAUGACCCUCUUAAGGUAGCGUAGUACCUUGUCGCUUAAUUGGCGACUUGCAUGAAUGGAUUAACGAGAGCCCUACUGUCCCUAACACGAAACCGUUGAACAUUUUAUCCUAGUGCAGAGACUAGGGACUCCAGAUGGGAAGUGAAGACCCCGUGGAGCUU